AAGCGAGACAACAAUUGUGUUGGAGAAAAGAGAGACAAGGAGAGAAAAGAGGAGUUCAACAUCUUUGUGAAUGAAAAGCUAGAGAAUUGAAGACAUAGAAGUGGAAAUCAAGAAAUUGACUUAAGAUUUACGCAGAACCGCACGUGCAGCUGUGAUCCCCGCAUGUGUGAAACACAGGACAAAACAGAGGCUCACACUCUGCUUUAAUUACACGUGCGGUCCACAUGUACAUCACAUUCCACACGUGCGGUCGCUGGCAUGAGGAAUCAUCACAAGGCCAAAAUCCCUGUGAGUAAUAAGUUUGUAUACAUAUGUUCUUCAUUGUCAGUUUGAAAACCAUAUGAAAGUGCAUAUAUAGAUUUCUGAGAUUGCCUUAUGUUUUGAUAUUAAUGAUUUUCGGUGAACGCUUUACGAAUGAAAUGUAAUGUUUUAUGAAUGGUACAUGAAUGAAUGAUGAAUAAAUGAUAUGUGGACCCAAGGUCAUUCUAUUUACGAUCUGAUGUACUAUGUGGGCCUGAAGCCGUUCUGUACUAUAUGGGCCCAAGGCCGUUUUGUUAUAUAUGGGCCCAAGGUUGUUUUGUUAUAUGUCAGCCCGAGGUCAUUUUGUUAUAUGUGGACCCGAGGUUGUUUUGUAUGUUUGGCCGAGGUUGUUUUGUAU